rnacentral:rRNA from 1 species
GACGAACGCUGGCGGCGUGCCUAAUACAUGCAAGUAGAACGCUGAAGAGAGGAGCUUGCUCUUCUUGGAUGAGUUGCGAACGGGUGAGUAACGCGUAGGUAACCUGCCUUGUAGCGGGGGAUAACUAUUGGAAACGAUAGCUAAUACCGCAUAACAAUGGAUGACACAUGUCAUUUAUUUGAAAGGGGCAAUUGCUCCACUACAAGAUGGACCUGCGUUGUAUUAGCUAGUAGGUGAGGUAAUGGCUCACCUAGGCGACGAUACAUAGCCGACCUGAGAGGGUGAUCGGCCACACUGGGACUGAGACACGGCCCAGACUCCUACGGGAGGCAGCAGUAGGGAAUCUUCGGCAAUGGGGGCAACCCUGACCGAGCAACGCCGCGUGAGUGAAGAAGGGUGUCGGAUCGUAAAGCUCUGUUGUAAGUCAAGAACGGGUGUGAGAGUGGAAAGUUCACACUGUGACGGUAGCUUACCAGAAAGGGACGGCUAACUACGUG